UGACGUGGUCCGAGAUAUGUUUUCACAAUGUUGCAAUUCUCUGUAAAUAAUAACAAUAAUAUUUUGAAUAAAAUCGGUAAAAAGUAAAAUUGGCACGUAGUUUCUUCAUGUAAUAAAAUCAGAUAAAUAAGCUAAAUACGACAGUUGAACGACCGUGAUAGAACCACGGAACUCGGGAAUGCCUAACACCUUCUCCUGGGUUAACAGAAUUCCUUAUCCGGAUUUCUGGAUCACAGAUUGUUAAAUAAAGUCAUGCUUUUCCUCGAUUUGGGAUUAAACCGGUGACUUGGGACACCAUAAAUCUCCCAAGUGGAGACUCUGAUUCUUUAAUAAAUAAUUCCGUUUCGAUUGUCCUUUUGGUUGGAAAAACUCCUUUGCGCCCUCGUAGUGUGGAAAAAGGAGGUGUGACAAUCCCCAACCAAGAAACCGGGGCAAAAGUUGUGUUUAUUAUAAAUAAAUUCAGUUUUGAAGGUUGUAAUUUUGAACCCAAGUUGAUGCAUUUUUUUAGCCUUUAAUUCCCUUUCUUUCUAGCCUAUCCAAAUCCCACAUUACGGUUGAAAGAGAACUUUCCGAUCAGUCUUCGAAAGAGGCCAAGUCAGGCAAAUGGGAGAGUAUUAUCAGAACAUAACACUCCGAUCCCCGACGAAAAAACUCCGACUCCAGCAGAAAAGACUCCGGUCCCCUGCAGAGAAGAUACAUGAGAGAGUCUUAUCGGUGAAAACCUUCGCAGGCACCAUAAGGUGAUGAAAGCUGAGAGAAAAAGCCAAAAUGAGAGAGGCUUGACAGUGAAAACCUUCGGGCACUACAAGUCGAAUAAGGGUGAGAAUCAGAUGGGGAAUCUCCAAACGAGGAUCUUGAAAGACGAUUAACGACGGAGGAUAGGCCACGUGUGCAUGUUAUGACCAUUAGAGUCAGUAUCCGCGUUUGAUAGGUUUUUAUUUUAUAGUUUCUCUUGUUAGAGAGUCAUCUAUUUUCUUUUAUUUUGUUUCUUUUUACCUUUCUCCCUUCAUAGAAAAUUCCCCGUAGAGUCUGUUCGGUCUAAACAAGUGAGAAAUGACUUCAAAAUAUGUCAUCAGCUUCCAAUUAGGCAAGACGAGAUCUAAC
rnacentral:lncRNA from 1 species